AUCUACGCCAUGCUACCCUGAACAAGCCCAAUUCCGUCUAAUCUCAGAAGCUAAGGAGGGUGCGGCCUGGUUAGUACUUGGAUGGGAGACCACCUAGGACAGCCAGGUGCUGUAGGUG
rnacentral:rRNA from 1 species